rnacentral:rRNA from 1 species
UACGAAGGGGGCUAGCGUUGUUCGGAAUCACUGGGCGUAAAGGGCGCGUAGGCGGCCGAUCAAGUCGGGGGUGAAAGCCUGUGGCUCAACCACAGAAUUGCCUUCGAUACUGUUUGGCUUGAGACCGGAAGAGGUAAGUGGAACUGCGAGUGUAGAGGUGAAAUUCGUAGAUAUUCGCAAGAACACCAGUGGCGAAGGCGGCUUACUGGUCCGGUUCUGACGCUGAGGCGCGACAGCGUGGGGAGCAAACAGG